rnacentral:rRNA from 1 species
ACGAACGCUGGCGGCGUGCUUAACACAUGCAAGUCGAACGGAAAGGCCCCUUUGGGGGUACUCGAGUGGCGAACGGGUGAGUAACACGUGAGUAACCUGCCCUUGACUUCGGGAUAACUUCAGGAAACUGGGGCUAAUACCGGAUAGGAAUCCUUGCUGCAUGGUGGGGGUUGGAAAGCUUCGGCGGUUUUGGAUGGACUCGCGGCGUAUCAGCUUGUUGGUGGGGGAGCGGCUUACCAAGGCUUUGACGGGUAGCCGGCCUGAGAGGGCGACCGGCCACACUGGAACUGAGACACGGUCCAGACUCCUACGGGAGGCAGCAGUAGGGAAUCUUCCGCACUGGGCGAAAGCCUGACGGAGCAACGCCGCGUGAGUGAUGAAGGUCUUCGGAUCGUAAAACUCUGUUAUUAGGGAAGAACAAAUGUGUAAGUAACUAUGCACGUCUUGACGGUACCUAAUCAGAAAGCCACGGCUAACUACGUG